rnacentral:siRNA from 1 species
ACUCCUCCCACAACCAUUCUUCCU